rnacentral:rRNA from 1 species
AUUGAACGCUGGCGGCAUGCCUUACACAUGCAAGUCGAACGGCAGCGCGGACUUCGGUCUGGCGGCGAGUGGCGAACGGGUGAGUAAUACAUCGGAACGUACCCUGUUGUGGGGGAUAACUAGUCGAAAGAUUAGCUAAUACCGCAUACGACCUGAGGGUGAAAGUGGGGGACCGCAAGGCCUCACGCAGCAGGAGCGGCCGAUGUCUGAUUAGCUAGUUGGUGGGGUAAAGGCCCACCAAGACGACGAUCAGUAGCUGGUCUGAGAGGACGAUCAGCCACACUGGGACUGAGACACGGCCCAGACUCCUACGGGAGGCAGCAGUGUGGAAUUUUGGACAAUGGGGGCAACCCUGAUUCAGCAAUGCCGCGUGUGUGAAGAAGGCCUUCGGGUUGUAAAGCACUUUUGUCCGGAAAGAAAUCGCGCUGGUUAAUACCUGGCGUGGAUGACGGUACCGGAAGAAUAAGCACCGGCUAACUACGUGCCAGCCGCCGCCGUAA